rnacentral:rRNA from 1 species
AUGCGUGGCAUUGUCCUUCUUUGCAACCUGUUGGACGGGAAUCCUGUCAUCAAAUUUAUCCCGUUCCCCGAAUCAAGGGUUAGCUUUCUCGACGAGGAUGGCCACCCUGAGCUCGCCCCUCAGUAUUAUUGCAAUGUUGCCUGCUCCGGCGAUCUCAUCAAAUUCAUCGAGGUAGAAUUUGAUGACCCUGUUGUCAGGACCAGCGGUAUAGGUUGGAGAGCCACUGUGUGGGAGAGGAAGUUCUCCUGGGACAAGUGGGAGAUCCGCUCCACGGUCGAUGUUGCUAACAUCUCAGUUGACCAAAGUUUUUCUGCUGUAUUGCCUGGGCUGUGGUGUGAUGAGACCCAAAAACUGGACUUGAAGAAACUUAUUUUCUAUACCCCGCUGCCGAGCAGGCGUGAUGACGAUCUUUUUUACAUGGUGGCUAAGGUGAAUGCUGACGACGAGACUGCCUGGGCCAUCGCAGUUGACAUGGAAAGGGCAGGUGUGGAAGCAAUGGUCCAGUUCUCUCUUGGACGGUACACGUACCACAUUGCAAUGUACUCUUCAUGCGACUUCCCCAAGUACCUCAACAUGACCCCAGGGGCAGGCAUGGAUAAUCCAGCGGACAAGUGCUCUAAGCGGAUGUCUGUUGCCAGGUUGAGUGCAAAGCAGUGUGUGGUGCAAGUUCUGCGGACUCUAGACUGGCUUCAAGAACUUGAUCAAUGCUUGGAAAUUGAGAGGUCAACUGACAACACAUACAGAUUAUUACUUCAGUUUUCUCCAGUAUCAUCUCUGCGUUCCAGUAUCAGACCAAUGGUAAAAUAUGCUAAUGAUCAAGGUGAAGCUGCAUCGAAGGCUGUGGAUUUUUGCCGAAGAGCUUUGGAAGAUUUCGACUUGGCUCUACACGGAUCACCGAGUGAUCCUUCAGCAUCCGUUGAAGCCAUGCGUAGCAAAAUCAGUGAUGUCAUUCAAGCUUUGGACAAGUACAAGAAAAUGAGUGGCCUCUCUUCUUUAUUAUUAAACGGAGCCCUUAGUGAUUUUAAUUUUGUACCUGGUUCAAUUGUUUCAGCAUCAUGCAAAUUGUGCCAUCAACACUGA